rnacentral:rRNA from 1 species
CUACGUGCCAGCAGCCGCGGUAAUACGGAAGGUCCAGGCGUUAUCCGGAUUUAUUGGGUUUAAAGGGAGUGUAGGCGGUUUGUUAAGCGUGUUGUGAAAUUUAGGUGCUCAACAUUUAACUUGCAGCGCGAACUGUCAGACUUGAGUACACGCAACGUAUGCGGAAUUCAUGGUGUAGCGGUGAAAUGCUUAGAUAUCAUGAAGAACUCCGAUUGCGAAGGCAGCAUACGGGAGUGUAACUGACGCUUAAGCUCGAAGGUGCGGGUAUCGAACAGGAUUAGAUACCCUGGUAGUCCGCACAGUAAACGAUGGAUGCCCGCUGUUAGCGCCUGGCGUUAGCGGCUAAGCGAAAGCAUUAAGCAUCCCACCUGGGGAGUACGCCGGCAACGGUGAAACUCAAAGGAAUUGACGGGGGCCCGCACAAGCGGAGGAACAUGUGGUUUAAUUCGAUGAUACGCGAGGAACCUUACCCGGGCU